AUGGCGGCGGCUGAGGAGGGGAAAGCGGAGGGGAAGAUGGCGGCGGCUGAGGAGGGGAAAGCGGAGGGGAAGAUGGGGGCGGCGGAGGCGAUGGAGGUGGAUCUCUCCUCUCUUAGCCGCUCCAACCCCUUCGUUGAGGUCAAAUUCGGCAAUGAUUUCGUCGACAUUCCCUCCAACGCGGACGAGAGCCCCGCCUGGUUGCUGCUCGUCGGCGUCAUAAGCGGCGCCCUGCGCUUCCACCGUUUUCGCGUGGCGAGAUCCGGGCGAAUCUCAGGUCAGAGCGAGGACAGGCUCGAGAUUUUCCACGACCUCAUGAAGCCGCAGGGGUGCAGCUCGAGCGCCAGCGCAGCCCUGGUUCCUGACGGUCGCUCGCUCUGCCUCCUGCAGCGGGUCGAGAAGGCGCAAACCGACGCCCUGCAGCUGCAGCUGCCGGCCGAGGAGGAGCCGCCGGCCGAAGUACCGCUUCCCCCGCUGGAUCCAAGCAUGCGUGGCCGGUGCAUGCCCAUCUCGGCCGACGGCCACAUAUGGGCCGUGUCGGCUACCUAUUCUUCUGGCACGAGUUUCCGUCUCCUAGUACAACGCCUGGUCAUUGAAGAGGAAGAGGGCGCAGCUGCCCAACGUUGGGAGCAGGUCGGGCCCCCCUUCGACCAACAUUGCAAAUUCGAGCCCUCCCUUCCCACCAUAUGGGGUCUUGACUUCCUCCAGGGCUACGCGGUGCUCCCUGGCCAUGGCCGUGAGGGGGGCACCCUCAUCCUGCUCUCCCUCCAAAACGGCCUUUUCUUCACUUUCAAUUGCUCCUCCCCUGACUUGGGCUGGACCAAGGUAGUCCAAACCUCAGAGGACAAGGACUACGUCCCUAUCCUCGGCCGUGGCCUCUAUGUACAAGAAACCAAUGCCAUCUACAUGCUCCGCAAAAAUGUGAUCUAUGAAUACAAGCUGGGAUAUGAAGAGAGAAGUCUGAAGAUUGGUACCCCUAUGGAGAUUAUAUUUCCUUGUGUUACACGAAGCAGAGCCCAUGGCUUCCUCACCCAUCUGGGCUCCGGGGUCAUGUGCUCUGUCUUGAUGAGUACGGCGCUCCCAUGCUGGCAGGACCACCUACACGCCAUUAUCACCACCUUCCAGCUUGGUCCUGGCCCCCACAUCAAGGUCCUGCACUCCACCUCCCGCCAGCUGGACGUCUUGCCCAUGGAAGACAUCAAUGAAUUUGAAUUCCGCUUUCUUCAAGAGUAUAAGGAUGACAAGGUGUUGCCUCAAGUCCAUGAAGUCCACGAUGCAGAGGAAGUCCAUGAAGUCCACGAUGCAGAGGAAGUCCAUGAAGAGAAAGCGCUUCAUGAUCCUUGCAAUACUUGCAGGCAUCAUCUCCCACCACUUCCUCCUCCUCCCUAUGUGAAGCCACAUAUGGACAAUGAACUCUUGUUUAUUAUCUGCCAAGCUGGUUCACAAUCAUUUAUCUAUAAAACAAGUCUCAUGGAUCUGAGUCCAGAUCUGAGUCCAAGGUUAGGAAUAGCCACUCCUCUCAAACCGCAUUACAUUGUACAUGGAGAUGAUCAUGGUCCGAGGCAUUUUUUUCUCAGUGGCUCAGAACUAUAUGCUGUCUCAUUCCUAAAAGAUGGCAUGUAUGUGCUUAACCUGGACACCAGAUGUGAGCAUCUUGAUCCCCUUGCAAGGCGGCCUGUUUCUUCUGUUGACCCUUUUAUCAUGGUUAUCCAAGUUGGUAGGGCAACUCUUGCUCUUACUGAAACUCUCCAAGUUUACCGUAAGGCCCACCUUGUUUGUCCUCCUCGAUCCAGCUCAUGGGUGCGCUGCAUGACAGAUCACUCUCAGAUUCCUGACAGGAAGGUCAAGCUGUCCGGAUAUGUAGUAGUGAGUGAUAAUUCCUUUACAGUCUGUGAUACUCUCACAUGUUCUUGUCUUCACUUUAACCUGGAUGCCAAGAAGUGGCAUGUUGUCAUGCCUUGGGCUCCAUGGGGAGAAUACCCGCCGAGGGAUAUGUCUAGUUAUCGCUUUCUAAAUGGCAGAUGUGUAUUUGUGGAUGGUUUUAUCUACACAUGCUCAGGAAAAGGGCUUGCUGCUUAUGAACUACUCUAUGAAGAUAAUUGUGUGUAUCUAGACAUCCCAAUAUAUUUGCCACUCUCAUGGGAGAGUGAGAUGUGGCGGACUGAAAGAAUGUGUUUGGAUUAUGCUGGCAAAGAUGUCAACUCCGGUGCCAUCUUGUUUUGGGUGGUGCAAGGUUUGCAAAUGAAAUAUCGUGACCCCCAGAAUAAGCUAUGGAUCACAGCAGUGGAGGUUGAGGUGGAGAAAACACCCAGGAAGAGCAUGAAACCGGUGGGAAUUAGGCAUGUGGUCUCUGCCACACGUCUCAUUGAUCAACAGGAAACAAUGGAUCAGAAGGAAGUGAUCAGUACCAGAUGUUGUGCUGUCUCUUUCUGA
rnacentral:rRNA from 1 species